UUUCACCACAAACAUUGAUUUGGAUUUAAUCUAAUUGUUUAUAUAUGUAAAAUAUCAAAGUUUUAGUGGUUGCAUUUACAUGUUUUUCUCAAUUCUUAAAUUAUUGACACCAGGUGUUGUAAGAUCUCCCAAAUUCCAUUAUAAUUAGGGUAAUCUUGUUAACUGCCACUGUUUUAGUGGGAUUGUGUCCAGUGAAAUCUUUUUACUUGAUGGUUGAAUAAUUUCUGACCAAAUUUGAUUUUUAGACACUGAAUAAAACUCCUGGUGUCACAAUGAAUUAUUGUAUAUGUUCACUAUGAGAAAGACUAUGUGAAAGACCUAGUUAUUACUGUAGCCCAAUAAUCUGGGCUACAGUAAUAAUUAUUACUGUAGCCCAGUAAUAAUUACUGUAUUGGGCCCAAUAUUACUGUAGCCCAAUAAUCUGGGCUACAGUAAUAAACAGAAAUGGUAAUGGGGUUCUAGAAAUACAUUUUGUGAUCUCCACGGUAACUGGGAGCAGAUUGGGGAACAUCCUUGACAGGUUGCCAGUAAAGCUUAGAAAUAGCAUAGAAAUAUAGCCUUUUAUUGAAAAGUUAUUUUUUAUGGGUUUUUUUUUACAGCUGUGCUAAAUGUAUUUUUAUUUUAAAUAGUUGCUUUUUCAUUUAUUUCUUUUUACUUGCUCAAAUUUAAGUGGACCAGUGCUAGAAUCAGUAAAAGUAGUUUAAUUUAGCAAUCAAACCUACCAAAACAAUGAUUUCUGGGUUCUCACUAAAACAGAUGGGCUAGCAAACAAAAGUUGGCAACUGGUUAAAUGUUGCCAUGAGCUAAAAAAAAAAAAAAAGAAAUAAACAGCUUGACUCAGGCAACGUGGUAAACUGCAUUGGGCAGUGUUUUCUCUCACAUUUAGAAUCCUGACAUCAGUCACUGUCCAAGUAUUUACUGUAAAAUUUUAGAUAAAAGUUUGAACAAAAUAUAUAUAAUGUUUGACUCUAGUCUGGGUAGUUAAUAGUUGGUAAAUUUAGCAGUUAUGAGCAUUACAUUGCUAAAAAAAAACAUGGAUUUGUACCUUUAUAAUGUUCAUAGCAAAGCAGGAAGGACCUACUCCUUCUUCAAAAAUGUGACUUGCUAUUAUACUGCAUAUUUCUGAGACUGAUCCAUGGUUGCAAACAAAUAUGUAAACACUGCGCUCCCUAACUGUUUGUAUGGUCUGCUUUUCUAUCCAUCCUUUUAUUUAAAAACACACUCAAAAAAAAACACAACAGUAAUUCAGUAAAAGAUUAGAUUCACAAAAAUUCAUUGUAAAGAUAUAUAAAUAUGUGCUGAUGUAUUUUAUAGUGAUUUGUUCCUAACUUCUGAAGGACUGCGUUAAUGUCCAUUGGGAGGUGUUUCACACCGAGAUGAGGGGAAAAUCGAAAUAGAGAGAUGUCUUCAGUCUCAUGCCUAAAUGACAGCAUUCAUUGUUAUGUUUCCAUUCUAACAUUAGCACUUCUUCUCUUCCAUUCUGUUUUCUGGCUUCAUGAGAAUCUUAUGAUCUACAUAGUCCAUCUCUUGGCAUUUUUAACACAUUGGGGAGGACAGACUACUAAGGACAUUUUUUUGAAUCCAAGUCAUCAUAACGAUUAGAUUUUUUUUGUAUUUUCUCGUAUUUAGCUUUAAGUCAUACAGUUUGGAAAAACACAAAUCACCAUAUCACCUUUCAGUGAUCUAUAAAUUCUAACUAGUCCCUAGUGAAAAAAAAUAUACCUUGGUAUGUUUCAAACAUACUUACAUUUGUGUAAGUACAUUUUAAGUAUACCAAGUAUGAAGUGUACGACAUAUAUAAAGUAUACUAAAAGCGUGCUUGUACCAAUUUUGACAUUAUAACUUUAAACACACUUAAAUAUAAUUGUACCAAAAUACACUUUUAAGAAAUAUAUUAACUAAAAGUAUACUUUAAGUGAACAAAAUGUAUUGCUUAAGUGUACCAAUGAAACAAUAUGCUUUUAAAGAUAUUUAGUGUAUAACUUAAAAUAUGUUCAAAAUAGAAUUUUUUAAAAUUCACUAAAUGCUUACUUUAAAAGUAAACUAUUAAAUAUACUGAAAUUUCAAUAUGCUUCAAAUUACAUCUCAGUGUAUACUUUACACUAAUAAAGUAUGCUUUUUUAGGUGCCUUAAUAAUAUUUUACUAUUUUUGUUAAAAUUGCAAAUAAUAAAAAAAUAACAGUCCUUAUAGUGGAACUUGAUGUAAUGUUGUUUAACAAAGUAAAUAAUGUGUUCAUGCCUCAACACAUAAAACAUUGACAGUCUAGUGACAGCGGGUCACUAGACUGUGACAAAAACAAUACUUGUUCUUAACACUAAAUGUAGCAGGUGUCUUCAGUUUUACAUCUCUCUGAAUAUGAUAUGUUGUUUUCAGUUUUUAACUAAAACACGAAAGCUGUCUUUGCGCGAUCCAUUUUCAGAUGUAAGAUGCAAAACCUAUCCUUAGUGUGAACUGCAUUAGUUGCAGUUCACACUCCAGACCAGAUGGUGGCGGUAAUGCAGGCCUUCAGUUGUUUUCUUUUUUGAAAAGCGACAUAAAACGUAAAAAAGCCGUGAAGAUAAGAGAGGCUGUUCAAAUUCGCGAUUUUUACUCGCAUAAUAUUGCCUUAAAAGUAAAGAGGGCGUUGAUAAUAGUUAGUAGUUUUGGUAAAUUCAAGCUUGUGACGUCUUAGUCCGAGUUAGACGACAACACAACAGGACAAGAACUGGAUGGAAAUGAAAUGUGGGUCACGAAAGGAGACCGAAGGGACGAAGGCUGCUAAAGUGUUGCUAGCUUGUGUCUAAGCAAAUAAAGAUGAAAGAUGAAGCCAGGGAUCAGGUAUUAGAAACCCUAAAGACUUUCCUGUCUCAGAAGAGGCUCUGGCUCCACCAGAUCACCACACCAGUUCUGAGGACGAACCUCCAUAUUGCGAAAUAUUUUUCACAUUUCGUUUAAAGUGUACUUAUUGUUUUAUUGUGCUAAUUUUCUUAAGCAUCUUGUCUGUAAACUUUGAUUAUAUUGACAAUUUGUACAAUUCUCUCAUAGUACAUUGGCAAUGUACUCUUG